UACGGAAGGCAGCAGUGGGGAAUAUUGCACAAUGGGCGAAAGCCUGAUGCAGCUAUGCCGCGUGUAUGAAGAAGGCCUUAGGGUUGUAAAGUACUUUUCAUCGGGGAGGAAAAACAAAACUAAUAAUUUUAUUUCUUGACGUUACCCGAAAAAGAAGCACCGGCUAACUCCGUGCCAGCAGCCGCGGUAAUACGGAGGGUGCUAGCGUUAAUCAGAAUUACUGGGCGUAAAGAGCACGUAGGUGGUUUUUUUAAGUCAGAUGUGAAAUCCCUGGGCUUAACCUGGAACUGCAUUUUGAAACUGAAAUACUAGAGUAUCGUAGAGGGAGGUAGAAUUCUAGGUGUAGCGGUGAAAUGCGUAGAUAUCUGGAGGAAUACCUGUGGCGAAAGCGGCCUCCUAAACGAAUACUGACACUGAGGUGCGGAAAGCGUGGGGAGCAAACAGGGAUUAGAUACC
rnacentral:rRNA from 1 species